rnacentral:lncRNA from 1 species
CACUACUAUGCUAGGACAACCUUGUAAAAUGUUGGAUAACCAGUUCUAAACAUAUCUCUAAUGUUGAUUAGGGUCUUGAUGCUUAGUCAGAAAUUAAAAUCCAUAAUCAGUGCCAAUCAUAAACAUAUAUAUAUAUAUGAAGAAAAUUUAUGGUAGUACAGUACAUGUAAUUAAAAAUUUUGUGCAGCAGAAACAAUAGAUUAAACAACUUAAUCUUAAUCACACGUAUAAGAUCUAAUCUUAGACUACUACAUUAGGAUCUUUGAUAUGAAAAAUAUAUACUUU